rnacentral:lncRNA from 1 species
AACAUUUUGCAAGGAACAAUAUGCCUUGGGUAAAAUGAAAUGUUUGAUAUUAAAGGUACCAUCUUGACCUUGGUGAAUUUCAGCAACACCUUCAAGAACUCGUUUGUUCUACAUUUGUGGAUUGGCAAAAGAAGAGACAGCUGUCUUUUUGAACAGGGAACAUCCUGCCUUUUGUAGAAGGAAAUUCAGAAAUUGGUACAGAACAGACUCAAGCAACAUCAUGGAUGACUGAGCAGAACUGUGGGAAUAUCUAAUAUUUUUUAGCUUGUCAAAACUUUGAGUCCAAAUUUUUAAACCACUUCCUAGAAGCAAAGAAAUGUGCAAAACCAAUGUCAAGACUUGGAACUGCUAUUAAUGUAGUGUUAGAAAAUUGUUACCUUUGCAAAUUUUGUACUUUGGGGCAGUGACCUUGAAGGCUUGAAUGAGGUUUUAUUCAUCAAAGUGGAAAACACGUAAGUAUUAUGAAAUACCUAUGAUAAUCUAUGCUUGUAUAAAAUGGGAAGUAGUGUGAAGAAUCAGGAAAGUUAUUUUAUCUUUGUUUAUAGUGUAGAUACUGGAAUUCUGUGUACUGUU